rnacentral:rRNA from 1 species
GACGUAGGAUGCGAGCGUUAUUCGGAUUUAUUGGGCGUAAAGCGUGCGUAGGCGGCUGUUUAAGUCUGGUGUUAAAGCUAGGGGCUCAACCCCUGUGGUGCAUCGGAUACUGGGCAGCUUGAGUGCGGUAGGGGAAGGUGGAAUUCCGAGUGUAGCGGUGAAAUGCGUAGAUAUUCGGAAGAACACCGGUGGCGAAGGCGGCAUCCUGGACCAUUACUGACGCUGAGGAGCGAAAGCCAGGGGAGCAAACGGG